GACGAACGCUGGCGGCGUGCCUAAUACAUGCAAGUCGAACGAGUGGCGGACGGGUGAGUAACACGUGGGAACCUACCCAUCAGAGGGGGAUAACUACUGGAAACGGUAGCUAAUACCGCAUACCACCAGCUGUGCCCAGAUGGGAUUAGGUUGUUGGUGGGGUACCGGCUCACCAAGGCGACGAUCCCUAGCUGGUAUGAGAGGACGACCAGCCACACUGGAACGUAGACACGGUCCAGACGCCGUCGGGAGUCAGCAGUGGGGAAUAUUGCACAAUUGGCGCAAGCCGGAGGCAGCCAUGCCGCGUGUAUGAAGAAGGCCUUCGGGUUGUAAAGUACUUUCAGCGGGGAGGCGUUACCCGCAGAAGAAGCACCGGCUAAAUCCGUGCCAGCAGCCGCGGUAAUAC
rnacentral:rRNA from 1 species